rnacentral:rRNA from 1 species
UACGUAGGGUGCGAGCGUUGUUCGGAUUUACUGGGCGUAAAGGGCGCGUAGGCGGCCUGUGCAAGUCAGUUGUGAAAUCUCCGAGCUUAACUCGGACGGUCAACUGAUACUGCUCGGCUAGAGUGCGGAAGGGGCAACUGGAAUUCUGGUGUAGCGGUGAAAUGCGUAGAUAUCUGGAGGAACACCGGUGGCGAAGGCGGU